rnacentral:rRNA from 1 species
CUACGGGGGGCAGCAGUGAGGAAUAUUGCACAAUGGGGGGAACCCUGAUGCAGCAACGCCGCGUGGAGGAUGACGCAUUUCGGUGUGUAAACUCCUUUUAUAUGUCAAGAAAAUGACGGUAGCAUAUGAAUAAGCACCGGCUAACUCCGUGCCAGCAGCCGCGGUAAUACGGAGGGUGCAAGCGUUACUCGGAAUCACUGGGCGUAAGGGGCGCGUAGGCGGGUUGGAAAGUCAGGUGUGAAAUCCUACAGCUUAACUGUAGAACUGCACUUGAAACUUCUAAUCUAGAGUAUGGGAGGGGGAGAUGGAAUUAGUGGUGUAGGGGUAAGAUCCGUAGAUAUCACUAGGAAUACCUAAAGCGAAGGCGAUCUCCUGGAACAUUACUGACGCUAAGGCGUGAAAGCGUGGGGAGCAAACAGGAUUAGAUACCCGCGUAGUC